ACAAAAGAGGAGAAGAUCCAAUCAGCGUUUGGGUUUAAUAAGGUGGAAUACCAAGGGACGCAACAGAAAAGAUACAGCACAACCAGGGAAAUAAAGGAAGUAGGAGCACACAGCAAUGAAAGACAUCAUUUAGAGAAAAAAAAAAACGCUUAACGGUAUUUUGAAUUCAAAGGCUCCUGUUCCAGGUGAACUUGAGAAGCAUCCUUUUCUUUUUUGGAGCUCUCAGCUUCAGUCAGCUAAUCUUGUGGACUAUUGGAUCCUGGAUGGCAUUUCAAGACUGACUGUUCCAUGGCCCCUCAUCUUCUGUCUUCUUAGCCGGAAAAUAACCAUGUAGUCUGAACAUCUUCUGAUAUGACAUCGGAAUCUUGAAAUAAGUGACCUGUGUAUUCCACUGGGGAUUUUUAAAUACUCUUUAGUCACACUCUAUGGACAUCUACUAUCAGAGGCCCUGCCAGGUUCCUAGAGGAAGAAGAGCUACGAUUAACUCUCACACACGUUCAUUGCCAGAAGUCACAAGUGCUGACAGGGGAAAUAUUACAACCAAUUCACUGACAGAAAUUGGCAACGCAGGUGAUUAGGCUGGCAGGUUAGGAUGGUGUCAGUCUCAGUUGAGCUGAUGCAAAAGUUGGGGUUUGAACAAAUGCAUUUUGGCCACAAUGUUCUCAGCACCCAGACGCUCUUGACAAUUAACAUGCAGGAUGGUCUUUUAAAUAAGAAGGGUUAGUGGUGACUUCCAGGUUAUUCAUCUUCAUUCCAGGUAGCAAAUGCUGCAGCAGUGCCUUUACCACAAGGCAUGGAACCUUAUAUUCUGCAUUAAGUAUUUAGUUUUGGAACUGCAUAAUGUUAAUAUACGGUGGCCCCGAAAGGAAAGGUAUUAAUUUAUAAUA
rnacentral:lncRNA from 1 species